GGAAGCCUAUGAGCUAACCAUGGAAGCACUUCUUCAAUAAUAAUAAUCAUUCAGGGACCGGCCGGUGGCGUACCAAAUGCCGUUCCCAUGGGCCUGGACUGCAGAGUCUACUGGAAGUCUUGGCGUCCUGUCUGGUCAUCAGGCCACACUGUGACUUCCAGUCAUUGAAGAGAGAACCAACUCGGGCCCCAGGCGCUGAUUUCUCAUACCUCCCACACCCAUAUUCUUCCUAUUAUAAUCAUCACCCAAUUUCUCUUGUUUGUUUUAACCUUCGAAGAGGCAAAGAACAAGACACGCAAUAUACCACAGGCUUGGCCAUUUUGUGGAAUACAACGCAGCUGGCUGUACAGUAGAAGCCAGGCCUUCUGGAGACACUGGCACCCAUUUCAUAUUGUAU
rnacentral:lncRNA from 1 species